UCAUUACAUAUCCAUGUCACCUUUAUGUAAUUACCAAAUAUCCUUUGUAAUGUUAGCUUAUUUGGGCGGGGUCCGUGUCACCUUUAGGUCGGACAUGUUCUGUUAGAAUUGAAUCAUAUGUUUUGUUUACCGGCCAACCUGGCCUUGAUAUAGUAAUAAUAACAAAGGUAAUCACAGGUAAUAGGUAAUAAAGGUAAUAAAUUCAAUUGUGAGACUUCAAACAAAGGUAUAAAUUAAACAAAACAAAAAAAGAUUUGCAUGGCUUACAAUGGCCAUUCUUU